rnacentral:rRNA from 1 species
AUGCACGCUGGCGGCGUGCCUAAUACCUGCAAGUCGAGCGAACGGACGAGAAGCUUGCUUCUCUGAUGUUAGCGGCGGACGGGUGAGUAACACGUGGAUAACCUACCUAUAAGACUGGGAUAACUUCGGGAAACCGGAGCUAAUACCGGAUAAUAUUUUGAACCGCACGGUUCAAAAGUGAAAGACGGUCUUGCUGUCACUUAUAGAUGGAUCCGCGCUGCAUUAGCUAGUUGGUAAGGUAACGGCUUACCAAGGCAACGAUGCAUAGCCGACCUGAGAGGGUGAUCGGCCACACUGGAACUGAGACACGGUCCAGACUCCUACGGGAGGCAGCAGUAGGGAAUCUUCCGCAAUGGGCGAAAGCCUGACGGAGCAACGCCGCGUGAGUGAUGAAGGUCUUCGGAUCGUAAAACUCUGUUAUUAGGGAAGAACAUAUGUGUAAGUAACUGUGCACAUCUUGACGGUACCUAAUCAGAAAGCCACGGCUAACUACGUG